AAAGCCAGCAACAGUGGCAGAAGACUCUGGACUUGUACAGAAAGGGGAGGUGGAGACAGGAGAUUCCCAGAAGCCAAUCAGCUAACCUGGCACACACAAUGGAAAAACAGACUGUCUCCAAAAAACAACAGCAGCAAAACCCCACAAAAGGCAGAAGGAGAGUCUUCAUCUGUACUGAGCUGGAACUGCGCCCCCAUCCUGCCGCCACCUGGUGGUCACAGAGGACAAAGCACUUAUGUAGUGCCUUCUGCCGAAGGACUUAAUUCACUGGGUCCCUGAAUAAAUUCCCUGAAGCCUAAUUCGGAAAGAGGUUCUCUUUAUGAUCUCCAG
rnacentral:lncRNA from 1 species